rnacentral:rRNA from 1 species
CGAAGGGGUCUAGCGUUGCUCGGAAUCACUGGGCGUAAAGGGUGCGUAGGCGGGUCUUUAAGUCAGGGGUGAAAUCCUGGAGCUCAACUCCAGAACUGCCUUUGACACUGAAGAUCUUGAGUUCGGGAGAGGUGAGUGGAACUGCGAGUGUAGAGGUGAAAUUCGUAGAUAUUCGCAAGAACACCAGUGGCGAAGGCGGCUCACUGGCCCGAUACUGACGCUGAGGCACGAAAGCGUGGGGAGCAAACAGGAUUAGAUACCCUGGUAGUCAAGGGCG